rnacentral:lncRNA from 1 species
GGAAGCCUCUGCCUCUGAGGACCCCCUUGACCCACCUGACUUGAUGGCGAUAGGAGCCUCAAUAAGUGCCUCGCUUUGCUCUGAGUAGCCCUGAUUAAGUACUCACAGCUCCCAAGACUCUGCAAGAGUGAGCAGCACAUCUGGACUCACUGCCCAAACUAACAUCCUUCCCCACAGUGCACCUUGGCUGGUGGAAGUGGAGGGACCCUCUGCAUCUGUGAGGGAGCAGCUGGACCCCUGAGAUAAGGGCCAGAUACCUUGCCUAAGGCAAACCCUCACAGCAGGUGGGCAAGAGUGGGGAAUGGUACAAG